AGAGUUUGAUCAUGGCUCAGAACAAACGCUGGCGGCGUGUCUUAAGCAUGCAAGUUGAGCGGCAAGGGGGAGCGAUCCCCCCUAGAGCGGCGGACUGGUGAGUAACACGUGGAUGAUCUACCCGAGGCAUGGGGAUAGUCACUAGAAAUAGUGGGUAAUACCGAAUACGGUGCGCAUCGUGAGGGUGUGCAAGAAAGGUGCUACGGCACCGGCCUAGGAUGAGUCUGCGUCCCAUUAGCUGGUUGGUGAGGUAAGAGCCCACCAAGGCGAUGAUGGGUAGCCGGCCUGAGAGGGUGUACGGCCACACUGGGACUGAGAUACGGCCCAGACUCCUACGGGAGGCAGCAGCUAAGAAUAUUCCGCAAUGGACGAAAGUCUGACGGAGCGACGCCGCGUGGAUGAAGAAGGCCGAAAGGUUGUAAAGUUCUUUUGUUGGGGAAGAAUAACCAUGGGAGGGAAUGCCCGUGGGAUGACAUGAACCGACGAAUAAGCCCCGGCUAACUACGUGCCAGCAGCCGCGGUAACACGUAGGGGGCGAGCGUUGUUCGGAAUUACUGGGCGUAAAGGGCAUGUAGGCGGUCUUGUAAGCUUGGCGUGAAAGACCACGGCUCAACCGUGGGAUUGCGUUGAGAACUGCGAGGCUUGAGUGACGGAGAGGGAGCUAGAAUUCCUGGUGUAGGGGUGGAAUCUGUAGAGAUCAGGAAGAAUACCAAUGGCGAAGGCAAGCUCCUGGCCGAUGACUGACGCUGAGGUGCGAAAGUGUGGGGAUCAAACAGGAUUAGAUACCCUGGUAGUCCACACUGUAAACGAUGUGCACUA
rnacentral:rRNA from 1 species